CUCCAGACUCCUACGGGAGGCAGCAGUGGGGGAUAUUGCACAAUGGGGGAAACCCUGAUGCAGCGACGCCGCGUGGGUGAAGAAGCGCCUCGGCGCGUAAAGCCCUGUCAGCAGGGAAGAAAUUGGACGGUACCUGACUAAGAAGCCCCGACUAACUACGUGCCAGCAGCCGCGGUAAUACGUAGGGGGCAAGCGUUAUCCGGAUUCACUGGGUGUAAAGGGAGCGUAGACGGCCAUGCAAGCCUGGAGUGAAAGCCCGGGGCCCAACCCCGGGACUGCUCUGGGAACUGUGCGGCUGGAGUGCGGGAGGGGCAGGCGGAAUUCCUGGUGUAGCGGUGAAAUGCGUAGAUAUCAGGAGGAACACCGGCGGCGAAGGCGGCCUGCUGGACCGCGACUGACGUUGAGGCUCGAAAGCGUGGGGAGCAAACAGGAUUAGAUACCCCGGUAC
rnacentral:rRNA from 1 species